GAGAGAGAGAUUCACCUCAGACAGCACCUUAGAAGAUAAUAGAUUAAAAAAGCCUCUCUCAUAUCACUUAGUUUUAGAAUUUAAAGAGCAACAAGUCUUUAUAUUUAAGUCAACUGAAUGAGGGUAAAAAUACUCGCCUUUUCAAUUUAUAAAACGUUUGCAGUAAAAAAUAUAUAUGCUACUUUAAUAUAUAUACUUAAAUAUACAGUAGAAUAGAAGGGUUUUUGAAAAUAUAUAUAUAUGUACGUUAGUUUCCGCAUUUUUUUAUUUAUUUAUUUUUUUUGACAAUUUUCUGAAGCUCGGAUUAAUUUUUUUGGUUUUUCUUUUAUUAUUAUUAUUAUUAUUAUUAUUUAUUAUUAUUAUUAUUAGUUUGUGAUGUGGCAAAGACUUAUGUACGUGUGUUUGUGUGUUUGUGUAUGGCUUGAUUUGUACACUGCUCGUCUGGAAGGGUCACAGAAACGAGGUGAUUUGGUCGUUUGUGCCGAGACGAGUGCUGUUCUGUGGCUGUUAAUUGUGUAGUGAAGAUCCUGAUGCGUUAAGGUCGGAUGUAAAUGAAAAUUCGUACUUGUUGCUUGUUUUUUGGAGAGGUCAUAGAAACGAGGUGAUUCGGUCGUUUCUGCAGAGACGAGUGCUGUUAUGUGGUUGUUAACUGUGUAGUGGAGAUCUUUAUGUGUUAAGUUCGGAGGUAAAUGGAGGGAAAUUUUUACUCAUUGCUUGUUUUGGAAAGGUCACAGAAACGAAGUGAUUCAAUUGUUUGUACCGAGACGAGUGCUGUUCUGCGGUUUUUAGUUGUGUAGUGAAGAUCUUUAUGUGUUAAGUUUGCAGGUAAACAGGCGCAAAUUUGUAAUUGUUGCUUGUUUUGGAAAGGUCAUAGAAACGAGGUGAUUUGGCUGUUUGUACCAAGACGAGUGCUGUUCUGCGGCUGUUAAUUGUGUAGUGAAGAUCUGUACUUGUUAAUGACUUGGCUGAUUUUGUUCAUGUGACAGAUAAGAAUUAGUGAGGAAAGCAAUGAGAUGACUGAGUGAAUUGGGGUAGUGAAGAUCUGUGAGAGAAGAGAAAUUGAAAUGACUGAGUGAGCUGAGGUAGUGAAGAUCUGCGAGAGGAAGGAAAGUAAGAGUGAGUUGAGAUAGUGAAGAUGUGUGAGAGGAAGGCAAGUGAGUGAAUUGAGGUAAUGAAGAUGUGCAAGAGGAAGGAAAGUAAGAUGAAUGAGUGAAUUGAGGUAGCGAAGAUCUGUGAGAGCAAGGAGUGUGCUGUAGUGAGGUAGUGAAGAUGUGCAAGAGGAAGGAGUGUGCUGUAGUGAGGUAGUGAAGAUGUGCGAGGAGGAAGGAGCGUGCUGUAGUGAGGUAGUGAAGAUGUGCGAGAGGAAGGAGUGUGCUGUAGUGAGGGUGUGCAACUAAUCCUUUCACUGCAACAACACGAUUAGCAGUAGCAGAAACAGUGCACAAAAUCUUUUAUAAAUCCCUACAAGGAAGUUAGCUACAAAAAAGAACAUAUUUUGUAACUUCUGCCCAAUUUGGAGAUUCAUUAUGGCUGCCGAACAAGUAAAGGUGUGUAGGAGUAAUUAGGGGAAGGUGCACCAGGUAAAGGUUACAUUGGAUUAAUAAUGAAAAAGUGAAGACAGUAAGUACUACAGUAAUAGUGAAGAUAAGCUGAAGACAAUGUGAUAUGCCUGUCUAGAAUUGAGUGUAGGGGGCAAGAGAGGGAUUAACCACGGUAUUGGAGGGGUUUACUCAUUCACAAUUUCACUAUGUCUCUUCUGGUUCAUUAAUCACUGAGACAUCAAAUCUUCUAUAGCCUCAAUGUUAUACUGGUAAAACCUAUUCUUUUAAUCAAUUUUUUUUAAUCUACAUCAUUACUUCAUUUGUUAUAUUUUCCUUUCUUUCUCUCUCAUUUCCAUUUAUAUCCUUGCAAACUAGAACAUUUUUCAUUCAUAAACAAAUUUUUCAGUCUUAUUUUGUGUUUGUGUCCGUAAAUAUUUCUCUAAGUUAAGGAAUGACAAGAUUAAACCUAUUCUCUUUUUUUUUUCCAUGAUAUCCUUACAAACUACAACAUUUUUUCAUUCUUAAACAAAUUUUUCAGUCUUAUUUUGUGUUCGUGUCUUAAAUAUUUCUCUAACUUAAGGAACGACAAGAGUAACCUAUUCUCUCCCUUUUUCCUUUAUAUCCUUACAAACUACGACAUUUUUCAGUCUUAUUUUGUGCUCGUGUCUUGAAUAUUUCUCUAACUUAAGGAACGACAAGAGUAACCUAUUCUCUCCCCUUUUUCCUUUAUAUCCUUACAAACUACGACAUUUUUCAGUCUUAUUUUGUGCUCGUGUCUUAAAUAUUUCUCUAACUUAAGGAACGACAAGAGUAACCUAUUUUCUCCCCAUUUUCCAUUAUAUCUGCAAACAGUUUCUUUACAAUACUCAAUGUGAAGCAAAGUCUGGCCAGCACAGUGAAAAGAAUGACUCGUGUAUGUACGUAAACUUGUGUAAACUCGUUAUUAUUAAGUUUCGAGGCCAUCUGGAAUGUGUUGGCAUGUAUUUUUUUAUGUUUUUGCGUUGUACUGUGAUAUUUCCCUGUGUUUCCGGCUCAAUUUUGGUUUAAUUUACGUUAGUUUCCGUUCAGCAAGACCUCCAUGUUAUAUUGGCAGCCCUGUCACCCUUCUGGCCUUUAAAAUCAGAGCAAAAAAUGAACCCCUUAAAAAUUAGUUUUCCACUUUGCCUAGGGGAUAGAUGCCUUUAAUUUACACCCACAUGGAAAAGUGACAGGGAGAAGAGAGGGCGAGGCAACAUGGAGGGUCUUUCUGAGUUUAAUGAUCAUUUCAAGGCAUUUUCACGACUCCAGUGGUAGAUUCUGGUGAGUUUGACAAAGUUUCUAUUGCCGAUUGUAAAGUUUCAAGUGUAUACCUCUGCGUGUUGUGAAGCUGUGGUUGAUAGCUGUAGUGGAGAUGACUCGAGGUGUUUUAUAUGCAGUGGUGGUGUAGUAAGGUUAUUCCAUGUGUUUUAUGUGUACUGGUGGUGUGGCAAGGGUUAUUUCAGGUGUGUGGUGAUGGUGUGUGUCACGAGUGUUUCAGGUGUGUUUGCGUGUACUGGUGAUGUGACAAAGGUCUAUACAACACCAGGUAUCUACAACACACUCGUAAGGUGACGCAACACCACAGCGGCUCUCAGAACUAUUGGUGUUGAGACUAGAGCAGAGGUUCUCGAGGCGUGUGGUGAUGACUAGGGCGGGUCAACAUGGCCAUGGUGUUGACAAGCCCACCAUUCAGUUUCAAAUUAAGAUAAACGAUUGGUUAUUAAUUUCACCAUUUAUUCAUUAUGCAAGGAAUUUUUUGGCCGUUUUUAAGUUAAUGGUGUUACUUGGGGAUCUUAAAUUUAACAUGUACUGGUUAAGAUACGUGCUGCCGUGUGUGUGGCCGGGUUGAGCGUAUGUCCCAUCCUAGUCUUGAGAUACGGAUGACUCGUGGCUCGGCUCUCGCACUGUAAGCCGUAUUAAUUGAAAGAAGACAGGGAGCAAGUGACAGCAGGGUGAAAUAAACCUGAUCACUUACUGUUUUUCAUGGUGUUCAAUUUAGAUUUAUGGAAGAAUGCUGUAUAAUUUGACUGUUCCUGUAAAAUGGAUGAAUUCAAUAGGAAGCAGGAAAAAAAAGUGCCACUCAUCCACUGUAUAUCUCAAACUGAUGCAGAUUACUUUAUACUUCAAUUUUAUUCACUUCAUCCUUGCAGAAAAUUUAAACGCCAUACAAUAUUAUAUAACUCGUUGAUCCAUGGCCUGAUGUCAAAAACCACACCUCAAAGGAACGGGAAUUGGGCUGUUAAUUCUAGAGGUGGUUUAUCAAGUUACUGUGAAUUUUUAACACCCCUGGAAGCGUGAGUCAUUGCUUGGGGGAGUGGCGGGGCGGGAGUUGGGGGUGGGGAGGAGAGAGGGUGAAUAGAACCAUCUUGCCUUAAUUGCUGUUUGUGGUUAUUGACGUAGUACUAGUUUGGUUUUGCUUUCAGUUCAUUUGGGCGCCCAGUAUCACGUUAAUCUUUUAUCUGUUAUCCUGAUCUUUAUUUAUUUAGAAGGCUCCAGUCCAUCUUAUUUUAGGUUUACUCUCUAUUAAGUUAAUUCUGUGUUGAUCAUCUUUGUUUUCAUUUGUUUACAAGGUUCUACUUCAUCUCAUUUUAAUUUUGUUCCUACUAUCAAUUUAAUUUGUAUUUGUUUACAAGGCAUUUCAUCUCUAAAUUUCCCCUUUAAUUUACACUUUCAAAAUACUGUACUCCUUUAUUUAAUUCUACAAUGAUACCUUUUUUUUUCUUUUCUUGUAAUCGCGGUAAAAAAAAAUAUAUAUGAAACCUAAUUACACACACUACAGUCAUAUCCUGUUGUAAUCAAUUAUAAUUUUCGUAUUGUAGUGAAAAUUUUGUAAGAUUCAUAUAAUUUUUUUUCUUUUUCUUUUUUUUUUCAUUCACCACAGUUAUUACUCUGAUUGGUGGCUGUAAUAUAAGUACCGGGGUUGUGUGGUAGUGAAUGAGCUGAAUAGAAUGUUAUUUUAGCUUGUAUUAUUCAUGUAUUGUUUGUUUACGUUUGUUGUGGUAGGUAAGUCUCUCUCUCUCUCUCUCUCUCUCUCUCUCUCUCUCUCUCUCUCUCUCUCUCUCUCUCUCUCUCUGAAGUGUACGGUUUCACUUAAAAGACACUUAAAUAUGUAAUUACUUUUAUUCCUUUCAGCAUACCAGUAUUAUUUGAUUACUUAUUAUCUUUAUACUUAAAACUCUCUCUCUCUCUCUCUCUCUCUCUCUCUCUCUCUCUCUCUCUCUCUCUCUCUCUCUCUCUCUCUCUCUCUCUCUCUCUCUCUCUCUCUCUCUCUCUCAGUAAUCAGCACCCGCUAGUCAGUUCAUGUAUUUUUUUUUCUUUUUUCUUAUGCAGUGUUACCAAUGUGAAAAAUCAAACUGAGCAAAUUAUCUCAAAAUGUCGAGAUUAUAUCAUUGUUUUGUCCUACGUUUCCAUCACUUGUUUUGAUGCUACAUUCUAGAUUUGUAAUUUUGGGAAGACAUAUUUAGGCUCAAGGAGUUUUGUAAUGGUGUGAAAUAAAGGAAUUGUCAGAAGCAUAGCGGGGGGCGGGGGGAAGAGGAAGAGGCAAAAAGUGUGAAAUGUCGAGAUGGUGUAAUUUUCUUUAUUAUUUUGUGGGUAACAUUUAUAUUUUUAGUUUAAUAAAGAUAAAAAAAUUCAUCCUUACUGAGACUAAUAAUAGCAUGAAGUAAAGUACCAGGGGGAAAAAAAGUCAAAAUCUGUCAAAACAUUUUCCUUAGGCACCAUGUAUAACUCUCUUAAGACAUGCAUCUAUAUAUUUGUAAUUUUCAUAAAUAAAAAGAAUCACACAAACCACGGAAGUUGAGAAAUAAACAUGAAAAGAUAAAAAAAAUAAAAUAAGUGUCAGAAUUUUUUGCCGAGGAUACCGUGCCAUGUAUGGCGCUCAUAACAUGGACAAUUAUACAGUUGUAAUCAUAAAAAAAAAAAAUCUUACAAACAAACCAACGAAGUUAUGAAAUGAAGUGACACGAAACGAAAAAAAAAAAAUCAAAACAUUUUUCUUAAUCACCAUAUACAGCUUUCCUGACACCAAAAUUCAAACAUUUAUAAUUUUCACGAAUAAAAACCACCAUAAAACACUAAAACCACACUAGGACAAGACAAACCAAAAAGUGUCAAAAAAAUACACGCAAACCCGAACGCCAGUAUCCAACAUGGCGUCUGUUCGGUGCCGCCUGUAGCUGCCGUCUCGUCUGAAAAGGGCACUAAGCCGUGAAUGAUUGGCGCUAGUUCAGUGUUUCUAGUGUGUGGGUGUAAGUGAGUGGCGGAGGGGUGAUGGCGGAGGGUGGUGAUGCCCCUAUAGAGGACGUGAAGCGGGCAGAAGAUGUGGUGAAGGUGGCCAUGGCUGAUAAUCUGAAGUUUGCUGUCCUAAUUGGCCUGAUCGAGGUGGGCCAGGUGUCCAACAAGGAGGUGGUCAACACAGUGCUUCAGCUGGUAAGUGUUGGUGAUGAGAGCAUUGGUGACAUGUAAGUAAGUGUGUGUGUGUGUGUGUGUGUGUGUGUGUGUUUGUGUGUGUGUGAGUGUGAGAUAGGUAAGGUACAAGAAGG